GAAAACAUGGUGUGUAGCUCAAAGCCAGGCUACCGAACCGAAGUUGCAACAAGUUCUUGACUAUCUUUGUGGACAACUCGACUGCAAGGAGAUUCAACCUGGAGGAUCAUGCUUUAACCCUAACACUGUGCGAAAUCAUGCGUCUUAUGCUAUUGAUCUUAACUUUCAAAUUAAUGGUGUAUGCGAUAUUAGUUACGCUACUCCUGCUGUCACAGAUCCAUGUAAGUUUCUUUUUCUAUUGGAAUAUUUUCUAAAGAAAUGCUCUGGCGCAUCAAAUAUCGGGUGAUAAGUGUACAAAUUGAAACUAAUUUUGUGUUGUUUUUAUGCAGCUUUCGGGACAUGUGUCUACCCCUAAGUGAUGAGAAAUUCAUAAUCGAACGACACGUUGAAGGGAAGAUCAUAUUUUUUUCAAAUUCUUGAAGGGUGAAAAGAAUGUAUAAAACAAUCUAAUAAGUGGAAAUAAAAUGUUCUUUUACUCGUUACAUGGUGUUUGAUAUAUUAUACUGUGUGUAUGCUUAGAACAUCAUAUGCCAUUUUAAGAACGUAACGUUAUUCUUCAUUUUCAAAAUAUACGUACUCGUUUGAUUUCUUUUGAGUUUAAGUGAAAUGUUUUAUUAUUUGUUAAAUAUGAUUCGAUGGAAUUUGAAGAUAAAUUAGAAAAAAGACUGAAAUUAAGGUUAUGAUGUUAUCCUUUUUUAGAUUAAACAUCGAUAAUAUGUUUUUUUGUAAGACUUCUGUAAAGUUUAUUUGCUUUGAUUAAUUUGCAAUAAUGUGUAUACUACUCAAAUGAUUCUUGAGUUUGAUUCGACCUUCAAAUAGUUUGGAGGGUUAUUUAUGAAAAUUAACAUUUUUUUAUGUAUAUAAGAAAGAUACUGUAUCCUUUAAAUAUUACAAACUAAGUAACCUAGCUUGAAAAUGUUAUGUCUUUUAGAAUUUUGAACUUAUUUGAGUGGUUAUCGAUAUAUAAGACAUGAAAUAACUUGGAGCGAAAUUUUUCACUGAACUAAUUAUUGAAUUCUCUCAAGAACGUUUUCAGAUCGAAAAAAUAUGUUUAAUAAUCUUCAAAUCAAGAAAAAAAACAUAUAAAUCCAUCUAUGGAAAACAUAUCGUUUGAUUUCUUUUGAGUUUAAGUGAAAUGUUUUAUUGUUGGUUAUAUAUGAUUUGAUGGAUUUUGAAAAUAAAUUAGAAAAGAGAUUGAAAUUAAGUCCAUCUAUAGAAAAAAAGAUUUGAUUUCUUUUGAGUUUAAAUGAAAUGUUUUAUUGUUGGUUAAAUAUGAUUUGAUGGGUUUUGAAAAUAAAUUAGAACAAAGAUUGAAAUUAAGGUUAUGAUGUUAUCCUUUUUUAGAUUAAACAUCGAUAAUAUGGUUUUUUUGUAAGACUUCUGUAAUGUUUCUUUGCUUCCAUUAAUUUGCAAUUAUGUGUAUACUACUCAAAUGAUUCUUGAGUUUGAGGCGACCUUCAAAUACUUGGGAGGGUUAUUNGCGACCUUCAAAUACUUUGGAGGGUUAUUCAUGAAAAUUAACAUUUUCUAUUUAUGUAAAUAAGAAAGCUAUUGUAUCCUUUAAAUAUUACAAACUAAAUAACCUAGCCCGAAAAUGUUAUGUUUUUAAAAAUUUUGAACUUGUUUUAGUGGUCAUCGAUAUAUAAGACAUGAAAUAAUUUGGAGCGAAAUUUUUCACUAAGCCAAUUAUUGAAUUCUCUCAAGAACGUUCGAAAAAAUAUUUUAAAUAAUCUUCAAAUAAAAAAAACAUAUAAAACUUCUACUCUCUCUUCUUUUAAUUAUAUUACAUGGUUUUUGCUCUUUUUAGUCCCUAAAUAAAGUUCAUCUAUGGAAAACAAAUCGUAUUGUUCAAUUAUGUAUAAAAUCCGUGAAGGAAAUCAUUUUCACUAUGAGAAUUUCCUUUUAACAUGUUCAAAAUUUUAAGCGUGUUUCACAAUCAUGUGUUCAAAACUUUUUCUAAGCAUUAUGAUGUUUGGAAGUAAGGACUUUAUAUUAUAAUUUUUCUAUAUCCCAAUUUAGUGAAUGUUUGUCGUGAACCAUAAGAUUUUGGGUGAAAUGAAAAUAUAAAUCCUUGGAUCCCAGAUUACGAAUAAUGUACCAAGUUGUCUUUUGAUUGAAACUCGCAUUAGGAAUCGUGAGUGUACAUCCUUUGAAGGGUAUAAAUUAAAGACACUUUGAUGAGAACCAUAAUAUUUAGCCGUAAAUAAUAUUGCUAACUUGACAUGUUACAGUUUUGGUCGGUGAUUAUCGAUUUUAUUAGUUUUUCUUUAUGUAAUUUUCUUGGCUCAUAAUUUUUGUAUUGUACUUAGGUGUAGGUCACUAUACAUGUUUUUGUGUUGAUGUCAUGUAUGUGGUUUAAUUAGUUAAAAAAACAGUUAACAAAUAUGAAAAAAAUGGGAUUCUGAUACUUUCUCUGAAAUAUGUGUCACACCCCGAAAACCGAAGGCGGAAACAUUUUCGAGGAUGACUCCACGUUGAGUAUCAAAUCCAAUGCACAUAGUAAGUACAGUAAACAACCAUUACAUUACAUAUAUAAAAGUUUACAUUUGUUUGAAAGUAAAGUUGUACAGAUGUGAUACAUAGUAUAUAUGAAAAAAAGUAAGACGAGUCUUCAACGCAUUCCGUCUUCGCCAAAAGGAAUCAUCGGGUACCUGUCUAACGCAGACGUGAGAAUACAAGUAAUUUGAAAAUCAGCAUAAUGCUGGUGAGUUCAUAAGCGGUGUGUUUUCUGAAAAUGUACAAGUUCUUUUCUGUUUCUGGAAAUGAUACACACCAAGAAAAUCCUAUAUUUUCUUAAUAGUUGGUUAUUGAAUCCCAAAAUGUAAUGUAAAAGAUGUACACUGAAAACAUGUUUACUCUUGUGAACUGUAAAGUUUAGUUAUCUGAAAUGUUACACGAUUCUGGUUAUGUACAAAUGUUACCCCAGGAAAAUCCCAUAUUUUCCUAAAUGUUGGUUACCAAUUGUGGAAGAUGUAUACUGAAAACCUGGUUGUCCUUGUGAAAUGUAUUAGUUUUAACACGUAUAUAAAACUAAUAUAUACAAAGUAAACAUAGUUACUUUAUUCAUUAUUACUAUUUAGUAAAUCUCUGUUAUCCAAAUUGCGAGUUCCAUAACCAUACGAUAGACUAGAUAUGGCAAUAAGUAGUCCACAUCACCUUAUGACUUCCGUCACCCUUGAACCUUUCGGUUCGGCUGUAGCUAGCAGCCAGGUGUGGGGUAGUCAGCCCCGUAUAGAUCUAUACACUCAAGUCACGCUCCCUAUCUAAGAGAUUCUGGUUAUGGGUGUGGUCCUCCACUCGCGUAUCUCUGUGGAGUGUUCACCGAGGACGUGUCUCCAAUUUAUAGAAAUAACAAAUUUACUAGUAAUAAUACAGAAAGAUCCUGUUACAAACAAUGAUCCUCCACUCGCGUAUCUCUGUGGAGUGUUACCGAGGACAAAACAGUGUACUAAGUUUCAUGUUCAAGGUUCAAAUGUCAUGCUUUUAACUGAUAUAAUAUGGAAAACCAUUUGUGAAAAUAUAAAAUACAACAUUUUAUAACGUAUUUCACAAAUAAUCUGAAUAAAUGUUCUGCAAGUUCAAACGGUUAUCUGUUAUGAUUAUCAGUGUUAAAAGCAUAUGUAAUAUGAAACACAACACAUGUAAAACAAGUUUUGAGUACAAGUAUCCCUUGUACUUUGCUUGUAUUCCCCCCUGAAAACAGUGAAAAACAUUGAAAAAGGGUAGGGGUAUGAACUCACCAGACGAGAACACGUGUUGGUUAGGAUGCUAGUUGUCAGUUCAGGGCCUGAUUACGCGCGAGGUUCCUAUAUAGUAUGAAAUGAUAUACAAAUGUAUCUAAUUAGACUUUGAACCACUAAUUAGACGUGAAUAUGCACUCCAAAACGUGAAAACACUUCAAUUCAAGUGUUAGGAGUGAUCCGGGUAGCAUCUAAGGGUGUGUAGGGCCUAAAUAUGGAGUUUAAUCUUCAAGAGUAAACUCCUUGAGGAGUUUAUGGCCCAUUGACCAUAUCCCCAUGAGUUUACGGCCGUAAACUUAUGGGUGGUGGGUUCUUGGAUGCCAAAUGGUCAUACAAUGCACACGGGAAGGUUCUAGGGUCGAUUCCAUGGCUUAGGAAGUCAUCGGGACUUGAAAUGGCCUUGGGAAAUGAGUUUACGGUCUAAGAUGUUCUUGGGGAGUUUACUACCUUAAACUCAUGAGUUUACAACCGUAAACUCAUAUUUGUCCAUGAAUCAAGGGCUUUGGUGGUUGUAAUUCAAUCACAUGUGAUUCUAGGUCCAAAACCAAGCUAUUCAAGGGGUUAAAGGCACCUUAACACCCUUUGAGGGGUGUUUACGGCCUAAGGAGGUGGGUUUACGGUNUCACACGUGAUUCUAGGUCCAAAACCAAGCUAUUCAAGGGGUUAAAGGCACCUUAACACCCUUUGAGGGGUGUUUACCACCUAAGGAGGUGGGUUUACUGUCCAAAAAUGUUGUUGGGCCAUAAACUCAAGUUUGAUGCCUUUGAGGAUAUUUUGGUGCAUCACAUGAAAUAUUAUGAGGUUCUACACUCCCGUGGAAGCAUUUGAAGGUGUUUAAGGGCAUUUUGACUCACUAACAUGAGUUUAUGGUCCAUGAAUGAGGGUUUACGGUCCAAGAACAUGCUUGGGCCGUAAACUCAUGUCCCCACAUCAUAUGAUAUGAUUUGGGGGUCCUAAGCUCAUGCAUGCAAGUUUCUAGUCCAAAUCUAAGCCCUAGAAGUGUUUUGGAGGGGUUUUGAGGCUUCAAAACCCUCAUAUGAGGUGUUUACGGUUUUGGGAGGGUCCCCAAACCGUAACCACAUGUUCAUAUGUGUGUUGGGUAGAUUAAACACAAAUUUGAAUGAUAAACAAGCUUAGAAACAUGCUAGGAUAGAUUUCUUACCAAAAUGAAGCUUGAAAUGAGGUUUUUGGGCCAAUUUCGAGUUCUAGAGAGAGAGUGUAAAGAGAGAAAGUUUUUAUAGAGAGACAAAAAGCCUCAAAAUGAUGUCAAUCAAUCCCUUAUAUAGGGGUUGAGUUUGUGGCUCGGUGGUAUUCUACCCAAUAUUGCCGUUAGACGGUGCUUUUGGUCUUAUCCGAUAAAUUUGCCGUAAUCACGACUUUGAUGAAAAUAAUAAUUUUCCAAACAAAUAUGGAAAAUAUUUUAAUGAUCAUGACACAUCUCGACACUUACGAAAAUAAAAUAAAAGUCGCGAUAAAAUUUAUUUAACGCAAAGGUUAACGGAAUGAAUUGAAUACGACGGUUUUUAUUCGACGGGAACGGUUUUAGUGACGGAAUAAAUUACAGGUUGUCACAUUAUCCCCCCGUUAGAGGGAAUUUCGUCCCGAAAUUCAAAACUAAGAUACAAAUCAUGGAUCUGGAAAGAGAUGUGGAUACUUCUGUUUCAUUGAGUCUUCACGUUCCCAAGUGAAUUCCGGUCCCCGCUUGGCAUUCCAGCGAACCUUCACUAUCGGGAUGCGGCUUUGCUUUUGUACGUUUGACCUCUCGAUCCAUGAUUUCGAUCGGCUCCUCCAUGAAGUUCAAGUUUUCGUUGAUCUCGAUCUCAUAUAAGGGAAUCACUAGGGUUUCAUCGGAUAGACACUUCUUGAGGUUUGAAACAUGGAAGACGGGAUGAAUGUUACUGAGCUCAUGAGGUAAUCGAAGUUUAUAGGCUACAGGACCGAUCCUGGCGAGGAUCUUGAAGGGUCCAAUGUACCUCGAAUUAAGUUUCGCAUGCUUUCCGAAGCGUACCAUGCCUUUCCAGGGCGAGACCUUCAAUAGGACACGGUCUCCAACCUGGAAUUCCAGAGGUUUCCGAUGAUUAUCUGCGUAACUCUUUUGACGAUCUCGCGAAGCUUUCAAUCGUUCCCGGAUUUGAAUGAUCUUCUCGGUGGUUUUGCGGAUGAUUUCAGGACCAGUGAGAGCACUGUCGGGGACUCGAUUCUUGGCUAGCUGCGUGUCCCCUACCUCGGCCCAGCACAGAGGGGAUCUGCACUUGCGACCGUAGAGGGCUUCAAACGGGGCAGCUUUGAUGCUAGUGUGGUAACUGUUGUUGUAUGAGAUCUCGAUCAAAGGCAAAUGUGUGUCCCACGACUUUCCGAAAUCAAUGACACAUGCUCUAAGCAUGUCCUCCAGGGUUUGGAUAGUUCUCUCAAUCUGUCCAUCGGUCUGAGGAUGAUAGGCCGUACUCAUGUCUAGUUUGGUUCGAAGAGCCUUCUGGAGAGACUGCCAGAAUCUGGAGGUAAGCUUGCUAUCUCGAUCAGAGAUAAUGGACGCAGGUACACCGUGCAGUCGGACUACCUCUUGGAUGUAAAUUCGCACGAGUCUUUCCAUCUUGAAUGAUUCUUUGAUCGGAAUGAAGUGAGCGGACUUUGUCAAACGAUCGACAAUUACCCAAAUGGUGUCGUACCCACUCGGACACUUGGGUAACUUGGUGAUGAAAUCCAUGGUAGUCAUCUCCUAUUUCCACUCGGGUAUCUCGGGCUGCUGGAGCAGUCCCGAGGGUUUCUGGUGCUCGACUUUCACCUUGGCGCAAGUCAGACACUUGCCCACGUAUGUAGCGAUCUCAGCUUUCAUGUUUGGCCACCAGUAUUGUUUCUUGACAUCUAGGUACAUCUUGUCCGAACCUGGGUGAAAAGAGUAUCUGGUCUUAUGUGCUUCCUCCAUGACAAUCUCCCUGAAUCCUCCGGACAUUGGAAUCUAGAUUCGGUUCAUGAAAUAGUAGACUCCAUCACCUCUGAUCUCCAAUUUCUUAUCCAUUCCCCUCAAGGCUUCGAUUGAAACGUUCUCGGGUUUGAGGGCUUCUAACUGGGCGUCUCGGAUUUGCAUGGAUAAGUGGGAAUGGAUAGUCAUCGUCAGGGUAUUCACCUUUCGACUUGAACUCUCUUUUCGGCUAAGGGCAUCUGCCACCACAUUGGCCUUGCCGGGAUGGUAACAGAUUUCACACUCAUAGUCACUGAAUAGUUCUACCCAUCGUCGUUGCCUCAUGUUUAAUUCCUUCUGAUCGAGGAUGUGCUGCAGGCUCUUGUGGUCAGUGAAAAUCGUACACUUGGUUCCGUAGAGAUAAUGUCUCCAAAUCUUUAGUGCAAAGACUACGGCUCCUAAUUCCAAGUCAUGCGUGCUAUAGUUGACCUCGUGUGCUUUCAGCUGUCUAGAGGCAUAAGCAAUUACUUUUCCUCUUUGCAUAAGCACACAGCCUAAGCCUUGAUUAGACGCAUUGCAGUAGACAACGAAGUCCUCUGUCCCUUCGGGUAGGGACAGAACAGGCGCGCUGCACAAGGCUUGCUUUAAUGUCUGGAAUGCUGUUUCUUGCUUUUCAUUCCAACAAAAGGGUACACCUUUCUGUGUUAGAGUGGUUAAGGGUUUGGCGAUUCUGGAAAAGUUUUGGAUGAAUCUCCGAUAAUAGCCGGCGAGACCCAAGAAUUGACGGAUUUCUGUGGGUGUCUUCGGUGCCGACCAAUUCUCUAUUGCUUUAACCUUGGAAGGAUCCACCUGAAUACCCUCCUCGCUUAUUACGUGACCGAGGAAAGUUACCUUCCGAAUCCAGAAUUCACACUUGGAAAAUUUAGCGUACAACUUCUCGGAUCUAAGGGUUUCCAACACUAGCCUCAAGAGUUGUUUGUGAUCUUCUUCGCUUUUGGAGUAGACAAGUAUGUCAUCAAUGAACACAAUGACGAACUUUUCCAGAAAAGGGCGACACACCCGGUUCAUCAGGUCCAUCAACCCUGCCGGUGCGUUGGUUAGACUGAAGGGCAUCACUACGAACUCGUAGUGUCCAUAUCGAGUCCUGAAAGUUGUCUUGGAAACAUCACUCUCAUAAACUCGUAGCUGAUGGUACCCUGACCGAAGGUCUAUCUUUGAGAAGUAGCUGGCUCCCUGGAGUUGAUCGAAGAGGUCAUCUAUUCGCGGAAGAGGAUAUCGAUUUUUGACGGUCAACUUGUUCAGCUUGCGGUAAUCAAUACACAUCCGAAAGGAUCCAUCUUUCUUCUUAACGAACAAUACCGGAGCUCCCUAGGGUGAGGAACUUGGUCUAAUGAAUCCUUUACUGAGCAACACAUUGAGUUGGCUGGAUAACUCCUGCAUUUCUACUGGAGCUAAGCGAUACGAAGAUUUCGCUACGGGGGUAGCUCCAGGAAUUAGAUCAAUGCAGAAUUCGACUUGAAGUUCGGGAGGAAUUCCUGGAAGUUCUUCAGGAAACACAUCAGGAAAGUUACAGACUUCGGGGAUGCUCGCGAGGUCUUUAACUUCCUGUUUCUCAUUGAUUACAUGGGCUAGGAAUGUUUGGCAUUCCUUUCGCAAGAGUUUCUGAGCUUUGAUGCAGAAAAUGAUGCGAAGAUUGGAGCUGAGUUUAUCGCCAUAGAUUAUGAGAGUCUGACCCGCAGGAAGGUUGAGACGGAUGGCUUUUUCGAAAUAGAGAAUAUCAGCGUGAUUGGGACUCAACCAUUCCAUGCUAAUAAUGACCUCAAAGUUCUUUAUGGAAAUUGGCAUAAGAUCGAUAGGAAAUGAAUGGUCAUUCAGGGUAAGGGUACAGCCUAUGAACACCUCGUUAGCGCUUUCUUUCUCACCGUUAGCCAUCUCGACAGUAAACAUUUCGGUUAAUGGUUGAGGAUUAGGUUUAAGAUUAUGUUUGAACGCAUGACUAACAAAACUUCUUUCAGCACCCGAAUCGAAAAGGAUACUAGCAUAAGAGUUUUCGAGAAGGAAUGUACCCGAAACAACGGUGGGAUCUGUGACUGCUUCCUCCCGUCCCAUGGCUAGGACUCUCCCAGUAUUAUCAGCUGUUACCUUCUUGGGGUAGUUCCUUUUGAAGUGCCCAACUUCUCCACAAUUAUAGCAGGCUUGACCAACACCUGCUCCAGAAGAUUGAUUGGCUGAUUGGGCUGCUGCUUUGCAGAAUCGGAUCGUGUACCCCUUUUUACCACAAUUAGUGCAUGACAGUUCAUGGCAGGGGCCGGGGUUGUGGUGGUAUUUGCACUUGUCACAUAAGGGAAGGUUACCAGCAUAUCUGCUAGUAGGUGUUUGAGCUGUAGAUCACACAACAUAAGCAGCAGCAACGGGGGUAGUAGCAGCAUGGACUGCUAUAGUCUGCUGUUUCUUUGAGGACCCUUGGGUAGAUUGACCUUUCUUCUUCUUCCAAAAUUUCCUUUUCUCACCACUCCUCUUAGUCGGCUCAAGAGUGGUAGUUGUUUCCUCAACAUCAUCACUGUGAUCAAUCAGGGUCUGGGCUAAACUCUUGGCGCUAUCAUACGUAUCUGGCCGUGCAGCUAAGACAUUUCCCUUGGUUGGCUGGGUCAACCCCCAAAUGAACCUCUCUAUCUUCUUACUUUCCAGGGUAACCGUUCCCGGGCAGAGGAGUGCAAGGUCAUCGAAUCUAGAAGUGUAUGCAGCAAUAUCGAAACCUUUCAUCUUCAGGUUCCAGAGCUUGUGCUCUAAUUUCUGCAUUUCGCCCCGAGGGCAGUAUUCAGCUAGGAGGAGUUAUUUCAUGGCUUCCCAACCCAUGGCGUUGGCUACAAGUAGGGUCAAGGAUUUGACUCGGCCAUUCCACCAAGUCAGAGCUUUAUCAAUGAAGGUACAAGCUACAAACUUUACUUUAUCGGAUUCCGAACAAGCACAGAUUUCGAAGAUGGAUUCGAUUUUCUCGAACCAUCGGGAAAGGGAAAUGACACCUCCAAUGCCAUCGAAGGAUGUAGGUUUUGCGUUCAUGAAAUCUUUAUAGGAAACCUCUUUUCGGUGUCCCUGACUGCUUUCUUGAUUUUGGGUUUGAGUACCACCUCCCGAACCACCGGAACCACCGGUGUUCAAUUGAGACAUAGCAGCUGCCACCGCGGUGGUAACAGCUGUCUGAAACACCACAAGGUCAAUUUCAGGAGGAGGUGGUGGUGGAGGGUUGUUGGUCUUGGAGUUGGGUCUCUUUCUUGGAGGCAUCUUGAUCUAAUAAGAUCAAGAAAGAGAGGGUGAUAAGUCCUCUGAAUUGAAUCAAGAGAUAUGACAGAUAUAUACAUUCCGAAUAAGCGAUAAAGCAGGAAAGAGUUAUCGAAACAGAUAAAUUAUCGCUAAAGGAAUGAUCAAGGAACAACAGGUGAACGAGGAUUUUCUACAAAGGAUUGGCUCGAGAAAUACUCCCAUAGUAUUUCAGGAUUCGCUUACGACACUGGCUCGAUGUUUGUGGUAUUAGGGUAAGUUUUAGGCAUGUCGCAUACCGCAGUCACUCCAAAGCACAUGUUGGCCGUGUCUCGAAUGAAUAUAGUUGGCUAGGCUAUAUUGAUCCUAGACAUGACCACAUAACUGCACAGGUUUAAUCACAGUACACAACACCCAUUUACUUAUGUUUUGUUCUACUUGUAGUUACAGAUCUCGACGGUUCGGUAUACUUGUAUACUUUUGAAAAUACUUAUAAUUUGAAGUAUACUUUUAGUUCAGAGCACUUAGGCCCCUUAGUGUUUAUAGUCUUAUACCAUGUAAGGUUUGAUAUACUUUAUUCACUAUAACCAAGGGCUCUGAUACCAAUCUGUCACACCCCGAAAACCGAAGGCGGAAACAUUUCCGGGGUUGACUCCACGUUGAGUAUCAAAUCCAAUGCACAUAGUAAGUAAAGUAAACCAACCAUUACAUUACAUAAUAAAGUUUUACAGUUGUUUCAAAAGUAAAGUUUGUACAGUUGUGAUACAUAGUAUAUAUAGACAAAAUGAAACGGAUCUUCAUGUACUCCAUCUUCUGAUCAAAAGAAAUCUCCGGGUACCUGUUCUAACGCUGACCUGAGAACACAAGCGGUUUGAAAAUCAGCAUAAAGCNUGUUUCUGGAAAUGAUACACACCAAGAAAAUCCCAUAUUUUCUUAAUAGUUGGUUAUUGAAUCCCAAAAUGUAAUGUAAAAGAUGUACACUGAAAACAUGUUUACUCUUGUGAACUGUAAAGUUUAGUUAUCUGAAAUGUUACACGAUUCUGGUUAUGUACAAAUGUUACCCCAGGAAAAUCCCAUAUUUUCCUAAAUGUUGGUUACCAAUUGUGGAAGAUGUAUACUGAAAACCUGGUUGUCCUUGUGAAAUGUAUUAGUUUUAACACGUAUAUAAAACUAAUAUAUACAAAGUAAACAUAGUUACUUUAUUCAUUAUUACUAUUUAGUAAAUCUCUGUUAUCCAAAUUGCGAGUUCCAUAACCAUACGAUAGACUAGAUAUGGCAAUAAGUAGUCCACAUCACCUUAUGACUUCCGUCACCCUUGAACCUUUCGGUUCGGCUGUAGCUAGCAGCCAGGUGUGGGGUAGUCAGCCCCGUAUAGAUCUAUACACUCAAGUCACGCUCCCUAUCUAAGAGAUUCUGGUUAUGGGUGUGGUCCUCCACUCGCGUAUCUCUGUGGAGUGUUCACCGAGGACGUGUCUCCAAUUUAUAGAAAUAACAAAUUUACUAGUAAUAAUACAGAAAGAUCCUGUUACAAACAAUGAUCCUCCACUCGCGUAUCUCUGUGGAGUGUUACCGAGGACAAAACAGUGUACUAAGUUUCAUGUUCAAGGUUCAAAUUUCAUGCUUUUAACUGAUAUAAUAUGGAAAACCAUUUGUGAAAAUAUAAAAUACAACAUUUUAUAACGUAUUUCACAAAUAAUCUGAAUAAAUGUUCUUCAAGUUCAAACGGUUAUUUGUUAUGAUUAUCAGUAUUAAAAGCAUAUGUAAUCUGAAACACAACACAUGUAAAACAAGUUUUGAGUACAAGUAUCCCUUGUACUUUGCUUGUAUUCCCCCCUGAAAACAGUGAAAAACAUUGAAAAAGGGUAGGGGUAUGAACUCACCAGACGAGAACACGUGUUGGUUAGGAUGCUAGUUGUCAGUUCAGGGCCUGAUUACGCGCGAGGUUCCUAUAUAGUAUGAAAUGAUAUACAAAUGUAUCUAAUUAGACUUUGAACCACUAAUUAGACGUGAAUAUGCACUCCAAAACGUGAAAACACUUCAAUUCAAGUGUUAGGAGUGAUCCGGGUAGCAUCUAAGGGUGUGUAGGGCCUAAAUAUGGAGUUUAAUCUUCAAGAGUAAACUCCUUGAGGAGUUUACGGCCCAUUGACCAUAUCCCCAUGAGUUUACGACCGUAAACUUAUGGGUGGUGGGUUCUUGGAUGCCAAAUGGUCAUUCAAUGCACACGAGAUGGUUCUAGGGUCGAUUCCAUGGCUUAGGAAGUCAUCGGGACUUGAAAUGGCCUUGGGAAAUGAGUUUACGGUCUAAGGAGAUGUUCUUGGGUAGUUUACUACCUUAAACUCAUGAGUUUACAACCGUAAACUCAUAUUUGUCCAUGAAUCAAGGGCUUUGGUGGUUGUAAUUCAAUCACAUGUGAUUCUAGGUCCAAAACCAAGCUAUUCAAGGGGUUAAAGGCACCUUAACACCCUUUGAGGGGUGUUUACCACCUAAGGAGGUGGGUUUACUGUCCAAAAAUGUUGUUGGGCCAUAAACUCAAGUUUGAUGCCUUUGAGGAUAUUUUGGUGCAUCACAUGAAAUAUUAUGAGGUUCUACACUCCCGUGGAAGCAUUUGAAGGUGUUUAAGGGCAUUUUGACUCACUAACAUGAGUUUAUGGUCCAUGAAUGAGGGUUUACGGUCCAAGAACAUGCUUGGGCCGUAAACUCAUGUCCCCACAUCAUAUGAUACGAUUUGGGGGUCCUAAGCUCAUGCAUGCAAGUUUCUAGUCCAAAUCUAAGCCCUAGAAGUGUUUUGGAGGGGUUUUGAGGCUUCAAAACCCUCAUAUGAGGUGUUUACGGUUUUGGGAGGGUCCCCAAACCGUAACCACAUGUUCAUAUGUGUGUUGGGUAGAUUAAACACAAAUUUGAAUGAUAAACAAGCUUAGAAACAUGCUAGGAUAGAUUUCUUACCAAAAUGAAGCUUGAAAUGAGGUUUUUGGGCCAAUUUCGAGUUCUAGAGAGAGAGUGUAGAGAGAGAAAGUUUUUAUAGAGAGACAAAAAGCCUCAAAAUGAUGUCAAUCAAUCCCUUAUAUAGGGGUUGAGUUUGUGGCUCGNGAAGGACACUGCCCUUAGACUUGAAAUCAUCUAAAGAGUGUAUGAAUUAUGCACCUCCUAACCCAUUAAAACUAAAUUUAGCUCAAUAUGUUAUUGAAUAGUUCUAAUCACACGAUUGUCUUCCUACAACUAUUUUUAGUUAUGAGGGUAAGUAGCGUAUUUAUUCGAGAAUAAGUUUGUGGUCCAACUUGUUCCAAUUAUCUGGGUGGGAAAAUAAGUGGCAAUAUUUGUAGUAUGACACUAAUUUUGGCUCGACUAUUGUUCUAAUGCACUAAUGACAUGCCCUAUGGUUUAUAAUAAAUGGGAUCUUAAACAGUUUCUUGAAUUGGCCAAUACCCACAUGACAUAUAUAAGCCGGAUCCUAACAACUUGUUUUAAACUAACAUAAAUGAUUGUGUUCAUCUUCUUUCGUUUAUGUUUUUUAAUCAAACUAAGUUAAAGAAGCAUAAACAAUUGAAGACAAAUAAAAAUAAGUGAACAUAUAUGAACAUAAACAUACAUAUAAAAAGUAAACAAAUAAACGAAUGCAAAUACGCGUCAACGUCAUAAUGAAUAAUAAUAAAACUUGAUCACCAAUACUUUGAUAUGUUGAUAUAUAUAUAUAUAUAUAUAUAUAUAUAUAUAUAUAAGUGUGUGUACAUGUAAUUAAUCAUGUAUAACUUACAUAGUAAUUAAAAAAUAUACAUAAUUAAUUAGAAAGUUGAACUCUUUAAUUUGUAAGAACAUAAACAGUUACGAAUCUGAAACAUUAUAAAUUUAAAUGAACAUUCCCAACAUAUUUCAUAAGCCAUUCUAAAAAAGCACCAUAUUUUAUAAAAUAACGGCAAGACUUACAUUCUCACUGUGCUUCAUUGGUUUUUUCUUGUGCCUCAUUAUGUGCACCAAUUCCGUGCAAGUAAGAUAUAUAUAAAAAAAACUAAUUAUUAUUGUACUAACAACUAAAAAUGUAUUUUAGAUUGGAAAAUAUUAUGCAAAUAUUUAAUGGGAUUAUGAUGUUUUUUUAAUUAUAAUCUUCAAAUAGUUUUCUUGGCUCAUAAUUUUUGUAUUGUACUUAGGUGUAGGUCACUAUACUUGUUUUUGUGUUGAUGUCAUGUAUGUGGUUUAAUUAAUUAAAAAAACAGGUAACAAAUAUGAAAAAAAAUGGGAUUCUGAUAAUUUCUCUGAAAUAUGUAAUUUUGACUCUAUUAGUUUUGGAUUGCACUAAACAUAUCUAUACAUUUUUCUAUUUUCUAGAAGCUCAUAAUUCACAAAAAUACAUGCCUUUAUGAGCCAGGGAAAUUCCCUAGGGACCCAAGAAGGACACUGCCCUUAGACUUGAAAUCAUCUAAAGAGUGUAUGAAUUAUGCACCUCCUAACCCAUUCAAACUAAAUUUGGCUCAAUAUGUAAUAGAAUAGUUCUAACCACAUGCUUUUCUUCCUACAACUAUUUUUAGUUAUGAGGGUAAGUAGCAUAUUUAUUCGAGAAUAAGUUUCUGGUUCAACGUGUUCCAAUUAUCUGGGUGGGAAAAUAAGUGGCAAUAUUUGUAGUAUGACACUAAUUUUGGCUCGACUAUUGGUCUAAUGCACUAAUGACAUGCCCUAUGGUUUAUAAUAAAUGGGAUCUUAAACAUUUUCUUGAAUUGGCCAAUACCCACAUGACAUAUAUAAGUCGGAUCCUAACAACAAGUUUUUAAACUAACAUAAAUGAUUGUGUUCAUCUUCUUUCGUUUAUGUUUUUUAAUCAAACUAAGUUAAACAAGCAUAAACAAUUGAAGAGAAAUAAAAAUAAGUGAACAUAUAUGAACAUAAACAUACAUAUAAACAGUAAACAAAUAAACGAAUGCAAAUAGGCGUAAACAUCGUAAUGAAUAAUAAUAAAACUUGAUCACCAACACUUUGAUAUGUUGAUCGUACUUAGUGGUGCUACAUUUGAUAGUUUUACCAAAUUCACAAAAUAUAAAACCUAUGCUAAUUUUAAAAACCCCACGUCUGCAAAGGCCCUGGUUAGUGUCUGAGUUAUUGGUCCAUGCAUAACUCAUAAGUAAUUAUGAUACAUAUAUAUACUAGUUGUGAAACUCGUAUAUUAUACGGGUUGAUUAAAACAAAAUGUUAAGUACGAACGCUUAAAUAGAAAUUUUAUUUGAAUUUGAAAUUGAAAUAAGUGAAAAUUAUGAGAAAAAGACAUGCAAAAAAUAAAUUAAUUAAAAUUAUGUGUUAAGUGUACUAAACGAGUUAAUUAUAACAAAAUGUUAAACAUAAAGGUUUAAACUAUAAAUUUAUUUGAAAUUGAAUUUAAAAUUUAAAAUUUAAAAUUUAAAAUUUAAAAUUAAUAGUCACUAUGGUAGGUUUAAUUUAUGGAAACAAAAUUAAUCAUAAAUUGAAGCAAUGACAAGUGGAAAAUAAAUAUAUAUCUCAAAAUUAUAACAAAAUUACAUAUGACUAAUUUUAUGAGAGAAUGACAUGUGGCAAAGUCAUUUUCAUUUAUUAGGAUAAAUAUAGCUCUACCUAUUUAUGUAAUAUAUUAGAUAUGAAAAAUAACCUAUCAAAACCUAGUUUCACCCAAUUUAUUAAAUUCGUUGUAUUGGUUGGAUAUCAAACACAUUUGGAAAUUAAUCAACCCAAUCCAUUCCCAUCCAUAAGUCCAUAACCUAUCAUCUUAAAUAUUACUAAAACAGAAACAUUAUGACAUCAUCUUAAAUAAUCUGGACCAUUGAUUGUAUUUUAAUCUUAUUUUUCCACUCUUAGAUCAAAUUGCUGACAUCAUNAAUUAGAAUGAACAUUCCCAACAUAUUUCAUAAACCAUUCUAAAAAAGCACCAUAUUUUAUAAAAUAAUGGCAAGAAUUACAUUCUCACCGUGCUUCAUUGGUUUUUUCUUGUGCCUCAUUAUGUGCACCAAUUCCGUGCAAGUAAGAUAUAUAUAAAAAAAACUCAUUAUUAUUGUACUAACAACAUAAAAUGUAUUUUAGAUUGGAAAAUAUUAUGCAAAUAUUUAAUGGGAUUAUGAUGUUUUUUUUUUGUUUUGAUAACGGAUAGGGGAAAACUUGGUGUGUAGCUCAAAGCCAGGCUACCGAACCGAAGUUGCAACAAGUUCUUGACUAUCUUUGUGGACAACUCGACUGCAAGGAGAUUCGACCUGGAGGAUCAUGCUUUAACCCUAACACUGUGCGAAAUCAUGCGUCUUAUGCUAUUGAUCUUAACUUUCAAAUUAAUGGUGUAUGCGAUAUUAGUUACGCUACUCCUGCUGUCACAGAUCCAUGUAAGUUUCUUUUUCUAUUGGAAUAUUUUCUAAAGAAAUGCUCUGGCACAUCAAAUAUCGGGUGAUAAGUGUACAAAUUGAAACUAAUUUUGUGUUGUUUUUAUGCAGCUUUCGGGACAUGUGUCUACCCCUAAGUGAUGAAAAAUUCGUAAUCGAACGACACGUUGAAGGGAAGAUCAUAUUUUUUUUCAAAUUCUUGAAGGGUGAAAAAAUGUAUAAAACAAUCUA
rnacentral:lncRNA from 1 species